AUUGAACGCUGGCGGCAUGCUUUACACAUGCAAGUCGAACGGCAGCGCGGGGCAACCUGGCGGCGAGUGGCGAACGGGUGCGUAAUAUAUCGGAACGUACCCAGAAGUGGGGGAUAACGUAGCGAAAGUUACGCUAAUACCUCAUACGAUCUACGGAUGAAAGUAGGGGACCGCAAGGCCUUAUGCUUUUGGAGCGGCCGAUAUCUGAUUAGCUAGUUGGUGAGGUAAAGGCUCACCAAGGCGACGAUCAGUAGCUGGUCUGAGAGGACGACCAGCCACACUGGAACUGAGACACGGUCCAGACUCCUACGGGAGGCAGCAGUGGGGAAUUUUGGACAAUGGGCGCAAGCCUGAUCCAGCAAUGCCGCGUGAGUGAAGAAGGCCUUCGGGUUGUAAAGCUCUUUUGUCAGGGAAGAAACGGUAGAGGCUAAUAUCCUUUGCUAAUGACGGUACCUGAAGAAUAAGCACCGGCUAACUACGUG
rnacentral:rRNA from 1 species